UCCUAGUGAGCCUGACCCGCUGCCCCAGUUUACGAGGCCUACAGGGGUUGCUGACGUCAGGGAGGAUAGCAAUGUAGGACCUGAUUCUGCAGACCCAGAUAACCUGCAGGAGGCAUCCGUGGAUUUUGGGAAUAAAGAGGCUAACACAUCCAUGAGGGAUUUCUCCAUUGAUGAUUUUGAUGAGGAAGGCUUGAUAGCGGACACUCCUACACUCCACUUCAUGUAUAGCUCUCCUCAGUUUGAUGGCCAGCUACCUGGAGACAUAUUUUUCGAACCCACGUUCGAUAAGAAUCUCGAGGAUGAUUCUUUCGAAGGAGUUUUUGUUGAGAAUGACCCCGUUGAGCCGGCUAUGGG